ensembl:lncRNA
CAGGGGUUGGUGCUGGGACUGGUCUUCUUCGACAUAUUCAUCAGUGACUUGGAUGAAGGGAUAGAGUCCACCCUCAGCAAGUUUGCUGACAAUAGAGAGCUGGAAAGAGUGACUGACACACCAGAAAAUUGUGCUGCCAUUCAGCAGCCCUGCAGAAAACGGCUUGGUCGUACUGGUGGAUGGCAAGCUGGACAUAAGUCAGCAGUGUGCCCUUGUAGUCCAGAAAGCCAACCAUAUCCUAGGCUACAUCAACAGAACUGUGGCCAGCAGGGUAAGGGUGUGUAUUUGAAGCAUCUAACUUUCUUCCUCAGAGAAAAAAAUAUUUAUAUAGAAACAAAACAAAACAACAAAAAAAAGUAGAUCCUCUAAAAAAAAUCAAUAGUUUAAAUAAAGUAAACAGUAUUUCUUUUUACUGAAGACACUUGGGGAGAGAACAAACAACAAAACAAACAAAGUCAUGGACAACUUAUUAUUUGUGCCAGUCCUACUCCCACCCUAUUAAUGCACCUCAUUUAUGCUUUUUCUGGGUGGUUGAUUAUGUUCCAGCUUGGGAUGACAAACAAAUUUGUUGUAAACUGUCAGGAAAAAUUAGUCUUUUGCAGUUACUGAAUAAAAUCAUUAUCAAAAAUAUAAAAAUAAAAUUGAAAGCUCAAUCAUAAUGAAUAGUAAGAAUUUCUAUUAAAACGCAAGGUUCGUUUUACAUUUUAUUGAUCUUCAUUUCUUUGCUAACAGUAUAAAGAAAAAAAAAUCUGUUUCUGUGUUGAUGAAGGAAUGUUUCUUCAUCAUGAGUAGCUAAAGUUACUCCCGGAGAAACCAACCUAUGCUCUCAAGAUAUACAUAAAUGGUGUCAUCUUCUUUAGGUAUUCCAUACUUAGUAUAUGGGAAUUGCUAAGUCACAGCCUGAACCAGUGAUUGAGCACCUGGUGAAGGGACAUAGCCAGCCCUAGGAGCACAGGUAAAAGCAGUUCACCUGUACAACUGGAAGGAGUGAGAUCAGGUUCUUCCCCUCCCUAAGGCUGAGCUGAGACAAGGGUAGGGUCUCGAGCUGGAGAUCCCUCCUUUUGGAAUAUUUAGUGAGUGUUGAUUCUUGGGACAGCAGAUUGACUACAGGGCUCCCGAGAUCCCUUCCAAAAGGAAUUGCCCUUCUGAGAAGUCUCAUAGGAUCAAGAUGGACAGCAUUUGAAGAUCAAAUUUCAUGGAGGACUUCACAAAUAGUUCUACAAGAUGGACAUUUACCAAUUUCACUGAUUUACUACAAUGAAACCUUGAAGAGUGCAAUUACAGGAUCUUUAUUUGGUGGAUGUGGAGGAACCACACUAAGUGAUUUGUCUAAUCAUACAAUUGGAAUGUCUUAUCCUUCAGAUGGCAUUAUGCUGUUUAAUGUUCUUCACACAGCAUCACAGGAAUGAUAGCUUCCAUGGCACAAGAGGAAGUCAGAAAAGGAAGUCAAGAGACCAGCAAGCAUGAUCCAGGACCUGCUUGUGAAACAGGAGAGCAAGUAGAAAAUGCACAGUCAGUGGAAGAGAGCAGAUACCUUGAUACCUCGGGAGAAAUAUAUGGAUGGUGCUAGGCUGUGUAGAGAUGGAGUUAGUGGCCAUUUCAAGAGUUCCACGUCCUUCCUGUACUGGGGGCCUCAGGCCUGGAUGCAGUACUUCAGAUGGGGCCUCACAAGAGCCGAGUAGAGGGGGACAAUCACCUCCCUCUCCCUGCUGCCCACCCCUUUCUUAAUGCAGCCCAGAACACAGUUGGCCUUUCAGGCUGCAAGAGCACACUGCUGGCUCAUGCCCAGCUUCUCAUCCACCAGGACCCCCAAGUCUUUCUCCGCAGGGCUGCUCUCAAGAAGAUCUUCUCCCAGUUUGUAUAAGUACUUGGGAUUGCCCUGACCCAAGUGCAGCACCCUGCAUUUAAGGUAUUUUUUUCACUGUAAAAAUAUGGUCCUUUUCUGUAGUAAUAAGUUGAUCAUAAUCACUGUCUAGCGACUCAAUUUAACGUGGCCUGACCUUUCCUCAUCUUUCAGGAUGUGAUUAGUCUUUUGCUACCUUUUUGUAUUUCACAUAUCCUGCUUAACAAAGAUGAGCAAAUGUUGUCUGUGUUACUGGAUGGCUCCUUUUCCACAUACAGAAAGGCUCAGAGGAAAUGUCAUACCAUCACUCAGCUCCCCUGCCAAAACAAAACAAACAACAAAACUGUGAGAUGUGUUCUGAGAUAUAUGAAAAAGUAUAUCAGGAAAAUCAGCAGAAUAUGCAAGGAAUAUAUUUACUAGAGGGAGAUGAAACUUCUUCAUGCAUUGUAUUUUCACCUUAUUUAGUUCAUCUAUUUUUAAUAUCAAAAAGGAAGACUAAAGAAUUGUGUAAGGUCUCUUUCAUCUGUUCUUGUUCUGCAAAGCACAGAGAUAAGCAUGAAUCGACAAUGAAAUAAGCAUUUCAAAAUAUGUCUUGUUACUUCCAUGUAGUGAAGGAGGCAUACUCACUUAAUCAGAAGUAUUGCAACCACAUGGAUGAAUAGUAACAAUCUGUACUGCAGCAGCUAUGCGACAGAAUCUACUUUCUUUCACAGCAAAGUAGGACUAUAUUGAUUUGUCCACCUCUAAGUCAAAAGACUGUUUCCCAGUAAGACCUUCUCUUUCUUCAGAGUUCAGUGUGGGUCUCAAAAAUGUUCUUGAUUAAAGCCAGAAUCAAACAUGCUAAUACUUCAGGUUGGAAAUAAAUACUUCCUUUUUUUCCUCUCUAAAAGGUGUUAAAAAGACUUUUGCAAAUGCUUGAGCUUAAAGCCUACGCUCACUGCUUAUGUUUGCACCUUCAACCAAAGGACUCUACAAAGUCCAGGAAUUUACAGUAGUUCAAAAAGCAAUUGACAGAGUACAACAUCUUAAAAAGAAAAGGAACUACCUUUGAUUCAAUAAUAGUUGAGCUACAAAUCGCUGGUUGCUGGCUGAGUAAUGUAGGGCAGUACAUCAUUAGGCACUUGUUCUGAUCUCACACAUUUCCCUUGACAUCUGCUAUUAGCCAAAGGAUACAGGCUAGAUAAUGAUUUGUCUGACUUGCAACUGUUGAUCUUAUGUUCUUAUUUUCUGAAGUCUGCUUCCUGAAAGCUAAGCCAUCAGGCAAGUCCCUAGAGGGUAUGCAUGAUAUUUUUGAAAAUAAGCUAUUCUAGAAAGCCUAGUCUGGAAGAAAGAAAAUCCACGUCUGUAUGAAUCCUUUGUUUUUGGCUCAAAG